CCUACGGGUGGCAGCAGUGAGGAAUAUUGGUCAAUGGACGAGAGUCUGAACCAGCCAAGUAGCGUGAAGGAUGACUGCCCUAUGGGUUGUAAACUUCUUUUAUAUGGGAAUAAAACGUUCCACGUGUGGGAUUUUGUAUGUACCAUAUGAAUAAGGAUCGGCUAACUCCGUGCCAGCAGCCGCGGUAAUACGGAGGAUCCGAGCGUUAUCCGGAUUUAUUGGGUUUAAAGGGAGCGUAGGUGGAUUGUUAAGUCAGUUGUGAAAGUUUGCGGCUCAACCGUAAAAUUGCAGUUGAAACUGGCAGUCUUGAGUACAGUAGAGGUGGGCGGAAUGCGUGGUGUAGCGGUGAAAUGCUUAGAUAUCACGAAGAACGCCGAUUGCGAAGGCAGUUCACUGGACUGCAACUGACACUGAGGUUCGAAAGUGUGGGUAUCAAACAGGAUUAGAUACCCUAGUAGUC
rnacentral:rRNA from 1 species